rnacentral:rRNA from 1 species
UACGUAGGUGGCAAGCGUUGUCCGGAUUUAUUGGGUUUAAAGGGUGCGUAGGCGGCCCUGUAAGUCAGUGCUGAAAUAUCCCGGCUUAACCGGGAGGGUGGCAUUGAUACUGCGGGGCUAGAGUACAGAUGAGGUAGGCGGAAUUGACGGUGUAGCGGUGAAAUGCGUAGAUAUCGGAAGGAACAUCAGUGGCGAAAGCGACUUCCUGGACCAAUACUGACGCUCAUGUGCGAAAGCGUGGGGAGCAAACAGG